rnacentral:rRNA from 1 species
UACGGAGGGUGCAAACGUUGCUCGGAAUCAUUGGGCGUAAAGCGCACGUAGGCGGCCUGUUAAGUCGGGUGUGAAAGCCCUGGGCUCAACCCAGGAAGUGCACUCGAAACUGGCGGGCUUGAAUAUGGAAGAGGGUCGCGGAAUUCCCGGUGUAGAGGUGAAAUUCGUAGAUAUCGGGAGGAACACCUGUGGCGAAAGCGGCUCACUGGACCACAACUGACGCUGAGGCGCGAAAGCUAGGGGAGCAAACAGG